CUUGAGAGUUUGAUCCUGGCUCAGAACGAACGCUGGCGGCAGGCCUAACACAUGCAAGUCGAGC
rnacentral:rRNA from 1 species